rnacentral:lncRNA from 1 species
GUGUAGUCAAGAAUAAGGAGUUAUAAUGAUCCGUAUUGAACGGGUCAAUUGGGAAUGAAUGGGAAUGUUCAUGAUUUGGUUAUGAUGAUGGUUCGUUAUGAAUGGGAUUAUUUGUAUAGAAUAAGGAUGUCAAAGAAUGUUAGCUUGCCGAACCGUAUCUAAACGGGUCGACCGCUUAAAAGAAAGAAAAGAAGGAAAGUAGUAAUAUAUGUUAACCCAUUCGUUGGGGUUUACAUAUUGAUGAUAAGGUCCUAUCACUCGGUGAUCGGGUUAUUGAGGCACUCAUAUUACCCGGAAGUAAUACUAGCACUUGAACGUUUAUCACUAGAUUUCGUUUAAUACCGCCAGAUAGAAGGAUUUCGUUUAUAUUGAAAAGAGACAGUUUUGUCACACCCCAACCGAUCGAACACUACUUCGUCAAUACUAUACUUCAAAAGUUUGGAAAAGUGGGACGCCAUGUGCUAGCCGAUCG